rnacentral:rRNA from 1 species
CCUACGGGAGGCAGCAGUGGGGAAUAUUGCACAAUGGGGGAAACCCUGAUGCAGCGACGCCGCGUGAGUGAAGAAGUAUCUCGGUACGUAAAGCUCUAUCAGCCGGGCAGAAAAUGACGGUACCUGACUAAGAAGCCCCGGCUAACUACGUGCCAGCAGCCGCGGUAAUACGUAGGGGGCAAGCGUUAUCCGGAUUUACUGGGUGUAAAGGGAGCGUAGACGGCAGCACAAGUCUGGAGUGAAAUCCCGGGGCUUAACCCCGGAACUGCUUUGGAAACUGUGCGGCUGGAGUGCAGGAGGGGGAAGAGGAAUUCCUAGUGUAGCGGUGAAAUGCGUAGAUAUUAGGAGGAACACCGGUGGCGAAGGCGGCUUACUGGACUGUAACGGACGUUGAGGCGCGAAAGCGUGGGGAGCAAACAGGAUUAGAUACCCCAGUAGUC